rnacentral:rRNA from 1 species
UGGGGAAUAUUGCACAAUGGGCGCAAGCCUGAUGCAGCCAUGCCGCGUGUGUGAAGAAGGCCCUCGGGUUGUAAAGCACUUUCAGCGAGGAGGAAGGGUUCAGUGUUAAUAGCACUGUUCAUUGACGUUACUCGCAGAAGAAGCACCGGCUAACUCCGUGCCAGCAGCCGCGGUAAUACGGAGGGUGCAAGCGUUAAUCGGAAUUACUGGGCGUAAAGCGCACGCAGGCGGUUUGUUAAGUCAGAUGUGAAAUCCCCGCGCUUAACGUGGGAACUGCAUUUGAAACUGGCAAGCUAGAGUCUUGUAGAGGGGGGUAGAAUUCCAGGUGUAGCGGUGAAAUGCGUAGAGAUCUGGAGGAAUACCGGUGGCGAAGGCGGCCCCCUGGACAAAGACUGACGC